UCUAGGCAUUAUGGGGACCGCUGGAUUAAGGCGACAAAAAUUGGUCUCCUUAAUAUUUUCAGUCCAGAUUUGAUGUAUCAAAUGUCAAUAAAAAUGUCCAUUGACAGUAAGUUGAUAAGCUUGAAUGUUUAUUUACGAGAUCAUUUCAUUGUUUUAAAUCUUAUUAUCUUUUAAUAUUAAAAAAAAUAUUCUUAAACUUUUGUGUGUGUAUAUUUGUGUAUCCAUAAAAAUAGCUAUUAAGGCGACCAGGGAAAAAAUCAUAAUUUUGGUCAAAAAUAGCUAUAUACUAAGCAUUUUUUAUUUGUUUUACUUUAUUUAAAGCCUAUUGUAUAAUAUCCCGAAGUUUCAUUCCAUAAAAUACAGAAAUAAGGAAAUUCGAUAUUUCGUGUACCAUCAACAUCCAAAUUUUCAAGUAUACAGAAAUUUAACUUUCCGGAAUAUAACGGAAAUUUUCGGGUAUCUCCGUGGUACCAUCUCCGUGCAAUUAUGCAGUAUGGCGUUCAUCUCUUACGGAAAGAGAAUGGUAACUUGGUAAGUGUUUAAAAUACAUAUUCAACGUUUUUUCGUUUAUUUUUAUGACUUUUGUACAGUAGUAUAAAUCGUCCACCCUUUGGAUGAAAAGCAAAUGAUUUAUCCGGAUUUUGUUCAUCCGAAACUAAAUCACUAGUAUCAACAUCCGGUGUAAUUUUUGCUUGUAUUUUGGAGAAACUCGAUUGAUUUCUAACAAACUUGGUUUACCACUACAUCGUCGCUUAUUAUUAUUUGUUGCUGCUUGGGACAAUAAAGUUAAGUCAGCAACCGUCUACCAGACUGCAAGAUUCAUCUCUUCCAAAGGAUGUCGUACCUUUCCAGAUACACUGUGUUUUGUGUGGAUAAGAAAUGCAGAGUGGUACCACCAAUCACCUAAGCCACCAUUCCCCUAACAGACAAUAGGCUCAUGGGGACAGUUCCUGCAAUUUACAGAAAAGCUCUCAAUUGUAGCCCUACGAACAUCAGAUACUGCCGAUGGUGAAGCUUGGGUGCACCGGGCCGGUUUUCCAGCCGUGUGGAAUCAACAUCUCCAGCUGAACUGGGGCCGGGAAUUAUAUAAGACUCCUUAGCAGCAUG